AAUUUCUGGCCCUGUGCACCUGGUCCACACUCUAGUAGUGUGCGUGCUAGUGUGCACGGGUCAUUCUUCUGGAAAGCAUCUCUGCCCUUUACUGGGUUGGUUAUGUGAUUCAGAUCAUUUACUGUGAGUAAAUCAGAGUGUUCAAAGCAGGCAGCAAUGCUUGUAUGGUUCAGCAUGGAAUAAUAAGAUAAGACUUUGGUUUUAUUUUGUUGGCUAUAGGACCAAAGUAAUGAUUGAAAGGGACAGUUGGGGGUGCUAGUAUUCAGUGGUCAGCGGUGAAAUGCGAGGACCCAUUGAAGACUAACUUAUGCGAAAGCAUU
rnacentral:rRNA from 1 species